rnacentral:tRNA from 1 species
CCGCCGACGAGCGGCGGCCGCGGGGCGGCUCGCGGCUGCCCGCGCCGCGUCCGGCCGCCGAGGCGCGUCGGAUCGGACCGUUCCGGCGGG